ensembl:lncRNA
CGGCCCUACUCUGAGAUGAAACGUGUGAGUUGUCGGCCCUACUCUGAGGUGAAACGUGUGAGUUGUCGGCACUAAUCAGAGCUGAAACUUUUGAGUUGUCAUUGGUCUCUUUACAUAUUGGUGCCUUUGCCAUCAUUAAUGCAAGCAUUUCUAUACUCACUCCAGCAAUGUGUGUAAUGUCUAGUGACGUACAUGUUCUUACGGUAUGUGGUAUACAGUGUCUAGUAGAGCCCAAAUGCCUUAUGACCUCCUUUCACUAUAGUCAACUAUAGCUGACAUGAUAGUUCUCUUGCCUUGGCACGUGCAGCAGACAUUGUCUCUUGGUAAAUAUGAUCUUAUAGCCCCUGUCAACUGUUGCCUUACACAAGUUAGUGAGUUGAGUUGUUGCCUUAUAUCUGGUUAUGGCUUUACACGCCUUGUGCAUUUUUGAUAUAUUCCAAUUUGUGCAUCAACAAGUUACAUCCAAAUCAAUAAAUCGAUGAGCAUUGUUUUUGUGGCCAAUUUUAAAGAUGGCUGAAUGCCUGUAGCUGAAGGCUAGUUGAAGGCCAGCAGCUGAAGGCUAGUUGAAGGCCAGCAGCUGAAGGCUAGUUGAAGGCCAGCAGCUGAAGGCUAGUUGAAGGCCAGCAGCUGAAGGCUAGUUGAAGGCCAGCAGCUGAAGGCUAGUUGAAGGCCAGCAGCUGAAGGCCAGCGGCUGAAGGCCAGCGGCUGAAGGCCAGCGGCUGAAGGCCAGCGGCUGAAUGCUAGUUGAAGGCCAGCAGCUGAAGGCUAGUUGAAGGCCAGUAGUUCAAUGCUAGUUGAAGGCCAGCAGCUGAAGGCUAGUUGAAGGCCAGUAGCUGAAGGCUAGUUGAAGGCCAACUAAAAGCCACUGGUUUAUGUCUGUAUGCUGCUCACUGUUCUAAAGAGUUAAGCCAUGAAGAAAACACCUUCCGUUUGAUUUUUUUAUUGAGGUGGAAAGCUGACAAAAUAAAUUAUGGUGAAUGAUGUUGAAUGACAUCCUGGUAUGAUAUGAAGAUACUAAUUAUUAUUUUUGAGAAUAUGUAUAUAGUUUGUAUGUUUCUGUAAAUACUACAUCCUCAGUUCACUGUGGUAUCACCCUGUUAAUUUUGUACAUUUUAAAACGUGAAAAAUAUGUUGUACAUAUUACAGAUUUGUUUUAUUUAUUUAUAUAUAUAUACACAUGUAUAAAUAUCUUGAUUGGAUGUUUUAUUUUCCUAAGCUCUCGUGUCUACUGUGAAUGGUUACACAGUUGUUAAUAUUGUCCCAUCAUCAUAACCAACCAACCAAUGUUCAUUAUCUUGAUUCAUUAUCCAUUGAAUCAUUAUCUUGGUUGUGUGAAUGACACUGCUGGUUCUGAACAACAGUGUAAAGUUCAGAUCCAUAUAUAGACAUACAUCUAUGGUUCUGGUGAAGUUGAUGUUUGUUCUGUUAUAUGGUUAUGUUUUCAUUCACAGCUGAUUGAGGAUCAGUUGUGGUGUGUAAAGCACAAUGUUGUGUAUCACCCUAAGAUGUACGAGUCCACAGGACAGAGCACCAACAGAUUGCCUGUUACAUGCAAAUUGCUCUUCUUGUUGAGUCUUAAUCUUCCUGUUCAGAGAAUCCAAUCUCAAAGUGACCAUUGUAUAGUUUGUGUUGUGAUUAUUUUGUUUAAUAAAAGAUAAAUGAUGAUCAAGUUUUAUCUGUCACGUCUCUUUCGUCCCACUGCACAGAUACUGUCUUCCUUGUAUGGCUGUGUCAUCGUUAGAACAAAAAAACACACAACCUGUCCUUAACGUUCU